AACGAACGCUGGCGACAUGCCUAACACAUGCAAGUCGAACGAGAUCUUCGGGUCUAGUGGCGCACGGGUGCGUAACGCGUGGGAAUCUGCCCUUUGGUUCGGAAUAACAGUUGGAAACGACUGUUAAUACCGGAUGAUGACGAAAGUCCAAAGAUUUAUCGCCAGAGGAUGAGCCCGCGUAGGAUUAGCUAGUUGGUGUGGUAAAGGCGCACCAAGGCGACGAUCCUUAGCUGGUCUGAGAGGAUGAUCAGCCACACUGGGACUGAGACACGGCCCAGACUCCUACGGGAGGCAGCAGUGGGGAAUAUUGGACGAUGGGCGAAAGCCUGAUCCAGCAAUGCCGCGUGAGUGAUGAAGGCCUUAGGGUUGUAAAGCUCUUUUACCCGGGAUGAUAAUGACAGUACCGGGAGAAUAAGCUCCGGCUAACUCCGUGCCAGCCGCCGCCGUAA
rnacentral:rRNA from 1 species